UGGGGAAUAUUGCACAAUGGAGGGAACUCUGAUGCAGCAACGCCGCGUGCGGGAUGACGGCCUUCGGGUUGUAAACCGCUUUCAGCCAUGACGAAGCUUUUGUGACGGUAGUGGUAGAAGAAGCACCGGCUAACUACGUGCCAGCAGCCGCGGUGAUACGUAGGGUGCGAGCGUUGUCCGGAAUUAUUGGGCGUAAAGAGCUUGAAGGCGGUUUGUCGCGUCGAUAGUGUAAACACGCAGCUUAACUGUGUGCCUGCUGUCGAUACGGGCUGACUAGAGGAGGGUAGGGGAGAAUGGAAUUCCCGGUGGAGCGGUGGAAUGCGCAGAUAUCGGGAGGAACACCAGUGGCGAAGGCGGUUCUCUGGACCUUUCCUGACGCUGAGAAGCGAAAGCGUGGGUAGCAAACAGG
rnacentral:rRNA from 1 species